rnacentral:rRNA from 1 species
AGUAAGGAAUAUUGGGCAAUGGACGCAAGUCUGACCCAGCCAUGCCGCGUGCAGGAUGACUGCCCUAUGGGUUGUAAACUGCUUUUAUAUAGGAAUAAACCUCCUUACGUGUAGGGAGCUGAAUGUACUAUAUGAAUAAGCACCGGCUAACUCCGUGCCAGCAGCCGCGGUAAUACGGAGGGUGCAAGCGUUAUCCGGAUUUAUUGGGUUUAAAGGGUGCGCAGGCGGAAGAUUAAGUCAGUGGUGAAAGCCCGCAGCUCAACUGCGGAACUGCCAUUGAUACUGGUUUUCUUGAGUAUGUUCGAAGUAAGCGGAAUAAGGCAUGUAGCGGUGAAAUGCAUAGAUAUGCCUUAGAACACCGAUAGCGAAGGCAGCUUACUAGGUCAUAACUGACGCUGAGGCACGAAAGCGUGGGGAGCGAA